rnacentral:rRNA from 1 species
UGCGUAGGCGGUUUACUAAGUCAGAUGUGAAAGCCCCGGGCUUAACCUGGAACUGCAUUUGAUACUGGUAGGCUAGAGUAUGAUAGAGGGGGGUAGAAUUCCUGGUGUAGCGGUGAAAUGCGUAGAUAUCAGGAGGAAUACCAGUGGCGAAGGCGGCCCCCUCGGAUCAAUACUGACGCUGAGGUACGAAAGCGUGGGUAGCGAACA